AGAUUGAACGCUAGCGGCAUGCCUAACACAUGCAAGUCGAACGGGUAACAGGCCCUUCGGGGUGCUGACGAGUGGCGGACGGGUGAGUAAUGCGUAGGAAUCUACCCACGAGUGGGGGAUAGCCCGGAGAAAUCCGGAUUAAUACCGCAUAUGCCCUACGGGGUAAAGCGGGGACCGAAAGGCCUCGCGCAGCAGGAUGAGCCGAAUGUCCGAUUAGCUAGUUGGNGGGGUAACGGCCUUACCAACGGCGACGAUCGGUAGCUGGUACUGAGAGGAUGGAUCAGCCACACUGGGACUGAGACACGGCCCAGACUCCUACGGGAGGCAGC
rnacentral:rRNA from 1 species